rnacentral:rRNA from 1 species
GACGAACGCUGGCGGCGUGCUUAACACAUGCAAGUCGAACGGAAAGGCCCCUUUGGGGGUCCUCGAGUGGCGAACGGGUGAGUAACACGUGAGUAACCUGCCCUUGACUUCGGGAUAACUUCAGGAAACUGGGGCUAAUACCGGAUAGGAAUCCUUGCUGCAUGGUGGGGGUUGGAAAGCUUCGGCGGUUUUGGAUGGACUCGCGGCUUAUCAGCUUGUUGGUGGGGUAGUGGCUUACCAAGGCUUUGACGGGUAGCCGGCCUGAGAGGGCGACCGGCCACAUUGGGACUGAGAUACGGCCCAGACUCCUACGGGAGGCAGCAGUGGGGAAUAUUGCACAAUGGGCGGAAGCCUGAUGCAGCAACGCCGCGUGCGGGAUGACGGCCUUCGGGUUGUAAACCGCUUUCAGCAGGGGCGAAGCUUGUGGUGACGGUACCUGCAGAAGAAGCACCGGCUAUCUACGUG